rnacentral:sRNA from 1 species
UGACUAGUGGACAGAUUUAGCACUCGUAA